rnacentral:rRNA from 1 species
UGGCUCAGGACGAACGCUGGCGGCGUGCUUAACACAUGCAAGUCGAACGCUGAAGCUUGGUGCUUGCACUGGGUGGAUGAGUGGCGAACGGGUGAGUAAUACGUGAGUAACCUGCCCUUGACUCUGGGAUAAGCCUGGGAAACUGGGUCUAAUACUGGAUACGACAUGUCACCGCAUGGUGGUGUGUGGAAAGGGUUUUACUGGUUUUGGAUGGGCUCACGGCCUAUCAGCUUGUUGGUGGGGUAAUGGCUCACCAAGGCGACGACGGGUAGCCGGCCUGAGAGGGUGACCGGCCACACUGGGACUGAGACACGGCCCAGACUCCUACGGGAGGCAGCAGUGGGGAAUAUUGCACAAUGGGCGAAAGCCUGAUGCAGCGACGCCGCGUGAGGGAUGACGGCCUUCGGGUUGUAAACCUCUUUCAGCACGGAAGAAGCGAAAGUGACGGUACGUGCAGAAGAAGCGCCGGCUAACUACGUGCCAGCAGCCGCGGUAAUACGUAGGGCGCAAGCGUUGUCCGGAAUUAUUGGGCGUAAAGAGCUCGUAGGCGGUUUGUCGCGUCUGCUGUGAAAGCCCGGGGCUUAACCCCGGGUGUGCAGUGGGUAC